rnacentral:rRNA from 1 species
GUACACUCCUGCGGGAGGCAGCAGUGGGGAAUUUUGGACAAUGGGCGAAAGCCUGAUCCAGCAAUGCCGCGUGUGUGAAGAAGGCCUUCGGGUUGUAAAGCACUUUUGUCCGGAAAGAAAUCCUUGGCUCUAAUACAGUCGAGGGAUGACGGUACCGGAAGAAUAAGCACCGGCUAACUACGUGCCAGCAGCCGCGGUAAUACGUAGGGUGCGAGCGUUAAUCGGAAUUACUGGGCGUAAAGCGUGCGCAGGCGGUUUGCUAAGACCGAUGUGAAAUCCCCGGGCUCAACCUGGGAACUGCAUUGGUGACUGGCAGGCUAGAGUAUGGCAGAGGGGGGUAGAAUUCCACGUGUAGCAGUGAAAUGCGUAGAGAUGUGGAGGAAUACCGAUGGCGAAGGCAGCCCCCUGGGCCAAUACUGACGCUCAUGCACGAAAGCGUGGGGAGCAAACAGGAUUAGAAACCCCGGUAGUCCCA